rnacentral:rRNA from 1 species
GACAACCUGGUUGAUCCUGCCAGUAGUCAUAUGCUUGUCUCAAAGAUUAAGCCAUGCAUGUCUCAGUACAAGCCAAAUUAAGGUGAAACCGCGAAAGGCUCAUUAAAUCAGUUAUGGUUCCUUAGAUCGUACCAACAUUUACUUGGAUAACUGUGGUAAUUCUAGAGCUAAUACAUGCAAACAGAGCUUCGACCGGAGACGGAAGAGGCGCUUUUAUUAGAUCAAAACCAAUCGGCGGCGGGUUCGCUUGCGGGCUCGUCGUCGUUUUCACUGACGAAUCUGAAUAACUUUCUGCUGAUCGCACGGUCUCGCACCGGCGACGCAUCUUUCAAAUGUCUGCCUUAUCAACUGUCGAUGGUAGGUUCUGUGCCUACCAUGGUUGUAACGGGUAACGGGGAAUCAGGGUUCGAUUCCGGAGAGGGAGCCUGAGAAACGGCUACCACAUCCAAGGAAGGCAGCAGGCGCGCAAAUUACCCACUCCCGGCACGGGGAGGUAGUGACGAAAAAUAACGAUACGGGACUCAUCCGAGGCCCCGUAAUCGGAAUGAGAACAAUUUAAAUCCUUUAACGAGGAUCAAUUGGAGGGCAAGUCUGGUGCCAGCAGCCGCGGUAAUUCCAGCUCCAAUAGCGUAUAUUAAAGUUGUUGCGGUUAAAAAGCUCGUAGUCGAAUCUGUGUCCCGCGCCGCCGGUUCGUCGCUCGCGGCGUUUAACUGGCGUGUCCGCGGGACGUCCUGCCGGUGGGCUUAGCCUUUUCAUUAAGGCGGCCCAAUCUUAAUCCCGCCGCGGUGCUCUUCACCGAGUGUCGAGGCGGGCCGGCACGUUUACUUUGAACAAAUUAGAGUGCUUAAAGCAGGCUAAAACUUCGCCUGAAUACUUCGUGCAUGGAAUAAUGGAAUAGGACCUCGGUUCUAUUUUGUUGGUUUUCGGAACCCCGAGGUAAUGAUUAAUAGGAACGGAUGGGGGCAUUCGUAUUGCGACGUUAGAGGUGAAAUUCUUGGAUCGUCGCAAGACGGACAGAAGCGAAAGCAUUUGCCAAAAACGCUUUCAUCGAUCAAGAACGAAAGUUAGAGGUUCGAAGGCGAUCAGAUACCGCCCUAGUUCUAACCAUAAACUAUGCCAGCUAGCGAUCCGCCGANGUUACUUCUAUGACUCGGCGGGCAGCUUCCGGGAAACCAAAGCUUUNGGGUUCCGGGGGAAGUAUGGUUGCAAAGCUGAAACUUAAAGGAAUUGACGGAAGGGCACCACCAGGAGUGGAGCCUGCGGCUUAAUUUGACUCAACACGGGAAACCUCACCAGGCCCGGACACCGGAAGGAUUGACAGAUUGAGAGCUCUUUCUUGAUUCGGUGGGUGGUGGUGCAUGGCCGUUCUUAGUUGGUGGAGCGAUUUGUCUGGUUAAUUCCGAUAACGAACGAGACUC